CAACUUGUUUGCUUCCUUGUUGUUUUAUUGCAUUCGAGAUCUUUACUAUUUUCACUGUCGAAAAUGCAGAGCAGAUCUUUAGUAUCUUGAAUUAUCAGUUAAAUUUGUUAGUUGUGAGAUGCAUAUGAUUCUGGCUUCAUUCACAACCAUUCAUGUGGUUUCUUCGGUUUGGUUGGUCGCUGCUGGUACUUCCAUGCCAUCUGAUUAUGUGGUAGAGUGCUUCGGAACUGUGUGUGGGGCCGGGUGUUGUCAGCCAGACCUGGGCGCCCUCGCCGGCGACUUGCUAUCUAACCCAUCCACAGGUACCAUCAGCUAUGACCCUAAUGGACCCCAAAUAAAAAGGAGAAAACAUUUGACACUUAUCGUGGCCAACCAUGAAACCGUGUUUCAGAAACUGCAUCAUAGCACAUAUUUCAACCAUCGUUUCCUGGUUUGUAAUAUGUACUAGCCUUCUGAAAAAGACUGAGGCUGCACUUGUUCCUGUCAGGUUGUCAUGUUACAAAAAGGCCUAUCUACAAAUAGGUGGACAAGAUAAAACAUUAAAAUAGACUAGAGCAUUUU